GACGGGGGAUGCGAGCGUUAUCCGGAAUGAUUGGGCGUAAAGGGUCCGCAGGUGGCCCGGUCAGUCCGCUGUCAAAGCCUGGGGCUCAACCCUGGAGAGGCGGCGGAGACCACCGGGCUUGAGUCCGGUAGGGGCAGAGGGAAUUCCCGGUGGAGCGGUGAAAUGCGCAGAUAUCAGGAGGAACACCGGUGGCGAAGGCGGAUCUCUGGGCCAGUACUGACACUGAGGAGCGAAAGCGUGGGUAGCAAACAGG
rnacentral:rRNA from 1 species